ensembl:snRNA U6 U6 spliceosomal RNA
GUGCUUGCUUCGGCAGCACAUUUACUAAAAUUGGAACGAUACAGAGAAGAUUAGCAUGGCGCCUGCGCAAGGAUGACAUACAAAUUCGUGAAGUGUUCCAUAUUUAA